rnacentral:rRNA from 1 species
CGUGGGUAACCUACCUAUAAGACUGGAAUAACUCCGGGAAACCGGGGCUAAUGCCGGAUAACAUAUCGAACCGCAUGGUUCGAUAGUGAAAGACGGUCUUGCUGUCACUUAUAGAUGGACCCGCGCCGUAUUAGCUAGUUGGUGAGGUAACGGCUCACCAAGGCAACGAUACGUAGCCGACCUGAGAGGGUGAUCGGCCACACUGGAACUGAGACACGGUCCAGACUCCUACGGGAGGCAGCAGUAGGGAAUCUUCCGCAAUGGGCGAAAGCCUGACGGAGCAACGCCGCGUGAGUGAUGAAGGUCUUCGGAUCGUAAAGCUCUGUUGUUAGGGAAGAACAAAUGUGUAAGUAACUGUGCACAUCUUGACGGUACCUAACCAGAAAGCCACGGCUAACUACGUGCCAGCAGCCGCGGUAAUACGUAGGUGGCAAGCGUUAUCCGGAAUUAUUGGGCGUAAAGCGCGCGUAGGCGGUUUUUUAAGUCUGAUGUGAAAGCCCACGGCUCAACCGUGGAGGGUCAUUGGAAACUGGAAAACUUGAGUGCAGAAGAGGAAAGUGGAAUUCCAUGUGUAGCGGUGAAAUGCGCAGAGAUAUGGAGGAACACCAGUGGCGAAGGCGGCUUUCUGGUCUGUAACUGACGCUGAUGUGCGAAAGCGUGGGGAUCAAACAGGAUUAGAUACCCUGGUAGUCCACGCCGUAAACGAUGAGUGCUAAGUGUUAGGGGGUUUCCGCCCC